AUAACCCUGCCAGGAAGCAGGAUGGAUUCUUUGCCAAGCACAGGAAAGUGGAGGAAGUCCCUGAGGAGCAAUCCCAGGCCAUCACCAUUGGUAUCCAGGAGGGCUGGUGGGAGUAUUCCUGCAACCCAGGCGUGCUGUGUGAUGCACUGCAGAAACAUCCUCUCAGAUAAGUGACCAUUUCUGACUGUAGGCGACUGCAACUAAAAGGAGUGUGUGUAUAAAAAGGAGUGUGUUUGUAAAAGGAAAUGGACUGCAAUCUGGGCCUUAGGUUGUAUAUCAUUCGGAGAAAAUUGCUGCAUUUAUGGGUUAAAAAAUUAGAAUUUACUUGCUUUUUAUAAAAAAUUUGGCAGUUUAAUGAUGGCUCGGGGUAUGGGGUCUAUGAUAGUUGGGGGUGAGGGAUCAUGUGUCAGUGUUCUGUCUUAGGCCAGGUUGUGCACAGUGCAUUAGCUGCCUUCUAACUGCUUGCUUUUUCCUGAUAAUUUUCCUGCUUCCAGCCCUCACUGCACUCCCAGCUAUUGAGCAAGGAAAUCUGCUGAUGAAUUUCUCUGUGCUUGGGAGAAGUUGAAUGGUGCAAAGCAUUGUGAGCUGCCAGGGAUCUGCAGGGCAUGAGAAGAAUCCUUUUCCAGUGCCUUCUGUGCCACAUGAAGCCAAGACAAGAACACCUGAAGUUAGGACAAGUUUGCUGCUGAACAAAGCCCAGUGAGGGGACCAAGAGCCGGCCUGACCUCACAUAGAGAAUGAUUCAGAACUUUCAGUGACCAAGUGCCCUAACUGGGUCUCCAGGAUGUAAAUAGUUCCAAGUUCUCUAGUCUAUCGAAACCUUACAAACACUUUUGUUUUAUUUACUGUUCAAUGCAAAGCACCUGCUUUUUUUUU